UACGGAGGGUGCAAGCGUUAUCCGGAUUCACUGGGUUUAAAGGGUGCGUAGGUGGGUUGGUAAGUCAGUGGUGAAAUCUCCGUGCUUAACAUGGAAACUGCCAUUGAUACUACUGAUCUUGAAUUUUCUGGAGGUAAGCGGAAUAUGUCAUGUAGCGGUGAAAUGCUUAGAUAUGACAUAGAACACCAAUUGCGUAGGCAGCUUACUACACGAUCAUUGACGCUGAGGCACGAAAGCGUGGGGAGCAAACAGG
rnacentral:rRNA from 1 species